UACAGAGGUCUCAAGCGUUGUUCGGAUUCAUUGGGCGUAAAGGGUGUGUAGGUGGCGCGCUAAGUCGGGUGUGAAAUUUCGGAGCUUAACUCCGAAACUGCAUUCGAUACUGGCGUGCUUGAGGACUGGAGAGGAGACUGGAAUUUACGGUGUAGCAGUGAAAUGCGUAGAGAUCAUGAGGAAGACCAGUGGCGAAGGCGGGUCUCUGGACAGUUCCUGACACUGAUGCACGAAGGCCAGGGGAGCAAACGGG
rnacentral:rRNA from 1 species